ensembl:lncRNA
AUGACAACAGAGAUAUCCUCAAAAGGGUAUCAGGUUCCAGAACAAAUAUGUUCAUGCGUUUUAAGAGCACGUCAAAAGAUGGCCUUUUAUUAUGACGAGGAGACAGUCCAAUUAGAGCCAACAGUGACUAUCUGUCUCUUGGCCUUCAAGAUGGAGCGCUCAUUUUCAGGUAUUACAACAAAUCCGUCUGCAUGCACCCACAUGCUUAAAAAUUUUUGCAGACAAGAGAGAAUUAAAAGCAUCCUCCAAACAUCUCUUAUUCUCUCAUCAGUUACAAUCUUGGUAGUGGAGCUGCCACUUUGGUCAUUAAUGGCACAUUUAGUGAUGGCAGAUGGCACAGAGUGAAAGCUGUCAGGUAAGACAUUUGCCAUUAAAUCAUUAUUUCAGCAUGUCUUUCUUUUCAAAAUUUCACGUUUACAGUGAUUCAGUGUGGUAUGUGCUGUUUCUUUACUUGCUAGCAGUUUUUAAGUGAAAAAGUAAAUCCUGCACCAGAUUUCUUCCAGAUUUUCUUGAAUGUCAGGCAAUAUGUACCAUUUAAAAGGACUGUAGUUUUCUCAAUUUAACCAAGCCUUUAUGUUUGUCUCUGUUUGAAGAGAUGGACAGUCUGGUAAACUAACCGUCGAUGAUUACGGAGCUAAAACAGGCAGAUCUCCGGGUAAGAUGAGACAGCUGAACAUCAAUGGUGACCUUUACAUUGGUAAGAAUAAACACUAUUUUGAAGUUGAUUAUAAUGAUAAA